ACAAGCUUAAAUUUGUUAUUUUUAGAAACAUCAGAAGUUGGAACGGAACGAAAUUCUGACAUUUUGAUUGAAGUGUCAUGUGUCAUGUAUCGUUUCCCUCCUUUUCCAUUUGCCCGGUCUGUUGUAUUGUAUCGCGUCCGUGGGUGCUGUGCAAUUCGAGACUCUUAAAGGUAUAUUUUAGUUUUAUCACAUGAUAAACACAUACUCAGUGAUACAAUUCAGUGAUCAAGACGGCGGAUCAAUAUCCAUUGUAAAGUAUCAGUGGAUUACGCCAAGGCGUCGGGAGCUAUUUUGGCCACCCGUCAAGGGAUCUAAAGGUUUUGAAAAGGUGUUGGCGGAUACCAAAACACCGGAUGAGAAAUGGAAACGAUACGCCAUCCAUAGAGUUUUUUGUGAGACUGGUAGCCUACUUCAAGAGCCUUGGUGGACAGGGCGUUAAGAACAAAGUAUCUAGAGUUAUGAAAGUUGCAUUAUCUGACUCUAUGGCAAGCAAGUACAACUUUUACGGUAAAAGAUCAGACAAGAAGCCAUUUGCAGAACUACGUCUCCGGGCGUGUGCAAAACCAUUCGAUGUAGAAGGAACCCACCAUCAAUUACAAUGUCACUACCAGCAAGCUUGUUGUGGAUCAGACACUGGUGAAAACAAAUUCGGAUUUUAGAAGAAAUUCAAAGUGGCGGCCGUGUUUACAAUCUUUGACUACGAAUUCAUAUAAGGGUAUCUUUCGGAUCCUCAGAUGUAAUUUGUUAUCGUGACUAGAUCAAAUUUUCCGUCGGACGUACCGUUUUUGAACUACAAGAAAAAAACUUAAAAAUAGCAAAAAAAGUUCUACAACUUCUGGAAUGGAGCAAACUCGGAUUACACAAAUUUAGGAUCAAAUAAACGUAUUAAGACGAUUUGACUGGCCUCUUAAAAUACUUAAAAAGUACCUUGUUAAUAUGUAGUUUAUAUGUUAUUAUUAAACUACUAGUUCCUUGAUGUACA